CCUACGGGAGACAGCAGUGAGGAAUAUUGGUCAAUGGCCGAGGGGCUGAACCAGCCAAGUCGCGUGAGGGAUGACGGUCCUACGGAUUGUAAACCUCUUUUGUCGGGGAGCAAAGAGAGCCACGUGUGGCGCAUUGAGAGUACCCGAAGAAAAAGCAUCGGCUAACUCCGUGCCAGCAGCCGCGGUAAUACGGAGGGUGCAAGCGUUACUCGGAAUUAUUGGGAGUAAAGAGUGCGUAGGCGGGAUAGCAAGUCAGAUGUGAAAUCCUAUGGCUUAACCCUCGUGCUGCCUUUGAAACUGUCGUUCUAGAGUAUGGGAGAGGUAGGUGGAAUGCGUGGUGUAGGGGUGAAAUCCGUAGAGAUCAAGCGGAAUACUCAUUGCGAAGGCGACAUGCUAGAGCAUAACUGACGCUGAUGCGCGAAAGCGUGGGGAGCGAACAGGAUUAGAUACCCCUGUAGUC
rnacentral:rRNA from 1 species